GUGUGCGAAUGAUAACUACUGAUGAAAGAGUCACUGACUCAGUUAGUGGUUGGAUACAGUCACAU
rfam:Canis lupus familiaris chromosome 8, whole genome shotgun sequence.